rnacentral:lncRNA from 1 species
GUGAUUUUUAGGUAAAAUGGAAAAAAGUGGGAUAUGACUGAAUGUAAGAUCUGAGAGAAAAAGCAGUCAAGGAAGACUCCAAAGUUGCAAACCUGACUGACGAGAAGGAUGUCAACUGAAAUGAAAGAGAUUGGAUAUUGGUUAUGUUUGGAAGGAGAGUACAAACCUUAGCUCAAUAUUGUGUCCAUGAGAGGGCAAAGGUAAAGAAAGGUGUGAAUAUUAUUGGCGUUCGAGCCAGCAACCCUCAUUUAUGGGAUGUUAAAGAGAGUGUGGAUUACACAGGGAAAUAUGUGUGUCAGAGGAAAUCUGCUGCUUCUGAGAACAGUAAGCCACCUUUGUUUUUCUUCUGGAGAUGUUGGUGUUCCUUUAUUUGUAACUCUACAGCAUCAUCAGGAGAACAUUGGUGAGGAAGAAGGGAAGAGAAGGAAGGGAAGAGAAGAGGAAGGAAGGGAAGGAAAGAAAAGAUAAUCCUUGACUUCAAGAAGCUUACAAUGUAAUGGGGAAGACAACAAGCAAACAAAUAUGUUUAAAAGAGAAAAGAUAUAUUUGUGUUCAAGCUAAAUGUAUUAAACAAAUGUAUUUCCCUCCCACAUUGUGUAAUUCUAUAAGAAAAACAUAUCUAUUAAGGAAGACAAGCAUGCAAAAACAAACUGUAUUUGUAUUCAAGGUAAAUGCACUCAACAAAUGUGUUUUUCCCCCACAUUUCAAUAUUCUAUGAGAAAAAAUAAAGUAUACCUAAGUAACA